GGCGAAAACGCAGCAAGCCAUGAUAACGUGAAUCCGCAGAUCAAAUUCAGUUUCGACGUCAAAAUUUUCAAGUGAACCCCGUUUUUCUGUACAUCAACAACAAAUUUAAAAAAAAAAUCCAAAACAUGAACACCUACUGCGGCUGUCCGGUGAUCCGCGUCGUGCCCCCGUUCUCCUACCAGACCGGUCAGCAGUGCACCAUCCUGGACGAUCCAACCCGAAUCCCGAUCUACCGCCGCCAAGCCCCGUUCCGGUCGUUGUUUCGGAAGUUUUUCCUCCGAGGAGACAUCCCGAUAUCCCGCUACUACGGACCGGGGGCAUUCCGGCAGUUCAUCAAUUGGCACGUCCCGCCAAACAAGCUGAUGUACCAGCGCUAUCUGCCAUUGUUUUUCGAUGGCUUGUGUGAGAGCACUUAUCCGUACCGAGAAUUCGCCCGGAACGGUGUCCGGGAAAUGAUUGCGGCAGCUACGGAAAAACAGUUGCUGUGCUGCUUGCCAAUGCUGAUACUGCCAGCGAAACGAGCACUGAAUUCAAAAGAUCCGGAUGUUAUAAUCGCCACACUGAGGGCCAUUCAGCAGCUGGUUCAGGCGGGUCCCUGGAUCGGACGGUGCCUGGUGCCGUACUACCGACAGUUGCUGCCAAUUCUGAACUUGUUCCGCGAUGCCAACGUGAACCUGGGUGACAAAAUCGAUUUCCAGGGUGGACAUCGGCUCGGCGAUGUGAUCGACGCCACGCUGAAUAUCCUGGAGCGAACCGGCGGUCCGGAUGCUUAUCUGAACAUCAAGUACAUGGUCCCGACGUACGAAAGUUGUGUACUGAAUCGAUGAUUCCGGUAAGAAAAAUGGGGACGCGCGGUAGUUUGAAUGGGUUUCUCGUGAAAGCAGCAACGUACGAUGACUGGACUGAUUCUCGGUACGUCAUGCAGGAGUUUCGUUGUCAACGGAACGAACGGAUGGCUUGUGUUCGGAUUGAAUAAGCAGUCCUAUAUUGGUGUUCGGUUUGUGACAUUUUUGGAUUAAGAUUUCCACCCACAGGAACUCGAAAUCUGAUAACAAUCUGAUUCAGUUAUGGCAUUCCGAGCAUCGAACUAUGCAAAUUGAAGAUUUCCUAGCAACGAACUUCCAACAAGGGAACCACCAACCGCAGUUUGCAAUCGCGCAUAUUGCGACCAUAUUCCCAUUCAUCGUGAUGAAAUUGAAUGGAAAAUUGUAAAUCACCGACCUUCACCGACGCCCGAUUACACACCAGCAAAAAAAAAGAAGAAGGAAAAAAUCUAUUCAUCCGUUUCAAAUUAAUUCGAAUGGAAUGAAGCGCCAUUCAAACAACCGAUCAACUACCCUCCAGCAGCCGGGACUGGUUCAAUAUCCUGGCCGGCGGAUAAAUUUCCCUGCUGACUCCAUCCGAAAAGCGCGCGAGUGGGCAAGAAAAAAACGCCGUCGAUCCGAACUUUCCUCGUGAGACCGGCGGCAAAACCGGGAAGGAGAACGACGGGAGAUCGCAGUAUAAGAAAACAUUUCAGCACAGCCCGUUUGAAUGGAAAGAAAAUCGCUUCGGAAAAUAUUGGUUGCCGCGGGAAGGACCGGGACCGAAAAUAGUGUCGCUCUAGGGAAAGCUAGAAAUGGAGUUAUCCCAUUAGAUCGAGAUCCUCCGCACCCUCACUCUUCCACGACCAGAUGCCGCAAAGUUACGAGUUACGAAUGACGACGGUGAAAAUGAAAGAGAGAGAACCAUAGAAAAUAGAAAAAAAAUCUACUCUGGAAUGUUGAAAGUUUCGGUCAAACAAACAAAUUGCUGUCAAUCGGAAACAAUUGGAAGUGGUCCAAGGGAUUGGGCAUCGGUUCCGAACAGUGAAAAACUUUGGUCCGUCCGUCCGUCUAGAUGAAUUAAUUUCACUAAUGGAACGCUUGAAAGGGUCGUGGUUCCGCACUUAGUGAGCUUUUUGUUCGUUUUUUUUUUCUUCGUCUUCAAAUGUCAGCUUCAUUUGAUUGAACCGAACAAAUCUAAUCUAAAUUUGAGAGAUUGAUGUGAGAUAAAGGCAAAUUAAUGGUAAUUAAAGGGGAACUUUGAACGAGACACAAUUGAAAUUUUAAUUGAACUGAAAUAAGAUCAACAUUUAAUGAAAGCCAAGUCGUAUUAUUUCAAAACAGACGAGACCGAAGUCAGUCAUUCAGUCUGUUGGAAACAUCAAUCUUAGUUAAUUUUAAACCAAGCAAUCAACAAAUGGAAAACAACCGAUGCCAGAAGAUGGUCACUGACCACACAAUGAUCCGUUAUCCCUUCGGUGCGGUUCCCAGCUUCCAUUUCAGCCGGACACAAACGGAAAACAUAGAUUGCUGCCUAAACAGUCGUAUCAAAAAUGUUACCGACCCAUUAGGAUUUAUUUCUUAGAAGCUCAAUAUUU